UACGGGGGGAGCAAGCGUUGUUCGGAUUUACUGGGCGUAAAGGGCGCGUAGGCGGCCACCGCAAGUCGACUGUGAAAUCUCCGGGCUUAACCCGGAAAGGUCAGCCGAUACUGCGGGGCUAGAGUGCAGAAGGGGCAACCGGAAUUCUCGGUGUAGCGGUGAAAUGCGUAGAUAUCGAGAGGAACCCCUGCGGCGAAGGCGGGUUGCUGGGCUGACACUGACGCUGAGGCGCGAAAGCUAGGGGAGCGAACGGG
rnacentral:rRNA from 1 species